GGCGGGGUGGGGCCGAGGACGCCCCCGCUGCGCCAUGUUUUUUGCGGUGCCUGCCCCAGGCUGCCGCAGCGUCUUCGCUCGCAAACGCGCGCACGGCUGCGGAGAAGCGAGGUAUCCUACAUGAGAUAAAUGUGUUCCCAGGUUAUCUCAAGUAGAAGGAUGCGCAUUCACCUCCGUAUCUGUAGGGCUCCUGACUCAGACUGCUGGAAAACGCUUCAAAACUGCACACCAAAAAGUGGGUUGAGAAAUGAAGAGAAAUACCCAACUUGAAUAUAAAUUCCAGAAACGGCACUGUAUCUUUAGAAACACAUUCCUGAAGGGAACAGCAUCCUGUGUUUCUAUGCUCGUGAUUCCCAUAAACUUGGG